rnacentral:tRNA from 1 species
UCCUAGUUAGCUUGGAGGGUAGCCCGUGUGCCUUGUAAGCACUAGGCCGCGGGUUCGAUUCCCGCCCGGGGAG